rnacentral:tRNA from 1 species
GGGGUUGUGGCUCAGUGGUAGAGCACUUGCCUAGCAUGUGUGAGGCCCUGGGUUCGAUCCUCAGCACCA